GACAAAGUACACAGUUGGGUGCCAGACAGAUCCCCUGGUCAUGAACGGAUGCCGGUAACUACCAGAAGGAGCAAAGCUUGUCGGGCAAGACCUCCUACUAAAAGUGUGUCAUGCGACACAAGUACCCUUGUGACACCUCCUCCAUUGUUGCCAGAGUCUCCCUCGACUCCUAUGAAAAGAACACACCAUCAUGAGGCCUCUGAUAGUGACCCUAGAUACUGCCCUGGUGGCACUGAUAACUUCAUUAACAACAACAGAUUCAAGACUGACCAUAUCACAGACCAGUAUCUUUGAGGGUACGUUGCUAUGGCCAUCAAUGGGGCUCUGGCAAAGACCUCACCUCCAGCCUCACCUCUUGCCUGCUCACCAACAGUCAUCGAUGGGGAGAACAGAAUUAAAGCCAGCACUUGGAGACUUGCAAGAAGAUAUGAUGGAGUCCCGACCGACAGGUUUGAUUUUGACAUCUCUGAAUGGUGAGAGACCUGGCACUCAACACAUCGACAAUGUGGGACUGAAGGGUCUUGCUUGAUUUAACAGAGGAAGCAUCAAG